CCUACGGGAUGCUGCAGUGGGGCAUAUUGCACAAUGGAGGGAACCCUGAUGCAGCGACGCCGCGUGAGGGAAGAAGUAUCUCGGUACGUAAAGCUCUAUCAGCAGGGAAGAAAAUGACGGUACCUGAAUAAGAAGCCCCGGCGAACUACGUGCCAGCAGCAGCGGUAAUACGUAGGGGGCAAGCGUUAUCCGGAUUUACUGGGUGUAAAGGGAGCGUAGAAGGCAGCACAAGUCUGGAGUGAAAUCCCGGGGCUUAACCCCGGAACUGCUUUGGAAACUGUGCGGCUGGAGUGCAGGAGGGGUAAGCGGAAUUCCUAGUGUAGCGGUGAAAUGCGUAGAUAUUAGGAGGAACACCGGUGGCGAAGGCGGCUUACUGGACUGUAACUGACGUUGAGGCUCGAAAGCGUGGGGAGCAAACAGGAUUAGAUACCCCAGUAGUC
rnacentral:rRNA from 1 species